GACGAACGCUGGCGGCGUGCUUAACACAUGCAAGUCGAACGGAAAGGCCCUGCUUUUGUGGGGUGCUCGAGUGGCGAACGGGUGAGUAACACGUGAGUAACCUGCCCUUGACUUUGGGAUAACUUCAGGAAACUGGGGCUAAUACCGGAUAGGAGCUCCUGCUGCAUGGUGGGGGGUGGAAAGUUUCGGCGGUUGGGGAUGGACUCGCGGCUUAUCAGCUUGUUGGUGGGGUAGUGGCUUACCAAGGCUUUGACGGGUAGCCGGCCUGAGAGGGUGACCGGCCACAUUGGGACUGAGAUACGGCCCAGACUCCUACGGGAGGCAGCAGUGGGGAAUAUUGCACAAUGGGCGGAAGCCUGAUGCAGCAACGCCGCAUGCGGGAUGACGGCCUUCGGGUUGUAAACCGCUUUCGCCUGUGACGAAGCGUGAGUGACGGUAAUGGGUAAAGAAGCACCGGCUAACUACGUG
rnacentral:rRNA from 1 species